rnacentral:rRNA from 1 species
UACAGAGGGGGCAAGCGUUAUUCGGAAUUAUUGGGCGUAAAGGGCGCGUAGGCGGCUACACAAGUGGCGGGUGAAAUCCCUCGGCUUAACCGAGGAACUGCCUGCCAGACUGUGUGGCUUGAGACCGGGAGAGGUGAGUGGAAUUCCCAGUGUAGCGGUGAAAUGCGUAGAUAUUGGGAGGAACACCAGUGGCGAAGGCGGCUCACUGGACCGGAACUGACGCUGAGGCGCGAAAGCGUGGGUAGCAAACGGG